rnacentral:lncRNA from 1 species
AAAUAAUGAAAACAUCAAAAAAGAAACCAACAUAUAAACGAACACCCACCAUCUUUAAUAAAAUAAGAAACGGGAAGGAUAAAAGAAAAGAUAUAGAAAAGAAAGAAGUCUAUAAAAUCCCUGUCAUAGAUAUAUAUACGCAACAGCUAAUUUUGUACAUAGGAAUCACGAGAAACUUAAAACACCAAAUAAAAGAGCAUAAGACAGACAUUAAGAAAGCGAAACUUAAUACUGCCUUAGCAAUAGAAGCUUAUGAAAAAACAUCAAUAUAUCAUGGGAAAAAGCAAAAAUAAUAAAACCAAUAGAUAACCCAUCCCAAGCGAUAUUAAUGGAAUUUCUGCAAAUAAAAAAAGCGACAUACAAUGAGGAAGUUCUCAAUGAAAAGCCAACAAUUCAAUUACCACAAGCCUGGGAAUAUAUCCUAGAAAAAACGGAAAAGAAAAAAAGACUAUCAAAGUAGAUGUUACACCAAGAUGAAAAGCACUUAACCAAAUAAAAGUCUUAAGAAAUUAUAUACUUAAUUUAUUUACAUAUAUUAACAUGAUAUGAUCCUGCCG